AAUAUUGGGACAUAUAAAAAAAGACAACUAUGUUCCGCAGGGUAGCUGUUGACAUUAUAGUUGCGCAGGCACUUUGUUGACUCUAGAGAACCUCGUGACAAUCGCACAUCCCCAUGACGGCGACACUGCAUUCGGAUGUCAUCCAUAUCAACUUUCGAUGCCAGUUUCAGUUCCUACCAUGGUGACCACGGGUAACAGGGAAUCAUGGUUCUAUUCCGUACAGGGACCCUGAGAAACGGCUACCACAUGCAAGGAAUGCAGCAGGCGUGCAAAUGACCCCCUCCCGACGCAGGAAGUUAGUGA